AUAUACGACCGUACCGCAAACCGACACUGGUGCGCGAGAUGAGUAUUCUAAGGCGCUUGAGAGAACUCAGGAGAAGGAACUCGGCAAAUUGACACCGUAACUUCGGAAGAAGGUGUGCCCUAUUAGUGUGUAGUGAACAACGAAGCAUGAAUGGGUUGCAAAAAAUCGGUGGCUGCGACUGUUUAUUAAAAACACAGCACUCUGCAAACACGAAAGUGGACGUAUAGGGUGUGACGCCUGCCCGGUGCUGGAAGAUUAAAUGAUGGGGAGCAAGCUCUUGAUUGAAGUCCCAGUAAACGGCGGCCGUAACGAUAACGGUCCUAAGGUAGCGAAAUUCCUUGUCGGGUAAGUUCCGACCUGCACGAAUGGCGUAACGAUGGCCACACUGUCUCCUCCUGAGACUCAGCGAAGUUGAAAUGUUUGUGAUGAUGCAAUCUCCCCGCGGAAAGACGGAAAGACCCCAUGAACCUUUACUGUAGCUUUGUAUUGGACUUUGAACAGAUCUGUGUAGGAUAGGUGGGAGGCUUUGAAGCAGGGUCGCUAGAUCUUGUGGAGCCAACGUUGAAAUACCACCCUGGUGUGUUUGAGGUUCUAACCUAGGUCCAUUAUCUGGAUCGGGGACAGUGCAUGGUAGGCAGUUUGACUGGGGCGGUCUCCUCCCAAAGCGUAACGGAGGAGUUCGAAGGUACGCUAGUUACGGUCGGACAUCGUGACGAUAGUGCAAUGGCAUAAGCGUGCUUAACUGCGAGACUGACAAGUCGAGCAGAUGCGAAAGCAGGACAUAGUGAUCCGGUGGUUCUGUAUGGAAGGGCCAUCGCUCAACGGAUAAAAGGUACUCUGGGGAUAACAGGCUGAUACCGCCCAAGAGUUCAUAUCGACGGCGGUGUUUGGCACCUCGAUGUCGGCUCAUCUCAUCCUGGGGCUGUAGCCGGUCCCAAGGGUAUGGCUGUUCGCCAUUUAAAGAGGUACGUGAGCUGGGUUUAAAACGUCGUGAGACAGUUUGGUCCCUAUCUUCCGUGGGCGCUGCAGAUUUGAGGAAGCCUGCUCCUAGUACGAGAGGACCGGAGUGGACACACCUCUGGUGUAUCGGUUGUCACGCCAGUGGCAUUGCCGAGUAGCUAAGUGUGGAAGAGAUAACCGCUGAAAGCAUCUAAGCGGGAAACUCGUUUCAAGAUGAGAUCUGCCGGGGCCUUGAGCCCCCUAAAGAGUCGUUCAAGACCAGGACGUUGAUAGGUCAGGUGUGGAAGCAA
rnacentral:rRNA from 1 species